UACGUAGGGGGCUAGCGUUAUCCGGAAUUACUGGGCGUAAGGGGUGCGUAGGUGGUUUCUUAAGUCAGAGGUGAAAGGCUACGGCUCAACCGUAGUAAGCCUUUGAAACUGGGAAACUUGAGUGCAGGAGAGGAGAGUGGAAUUCCUAGUGUAGCGGUGAAAUGCGUAGAUAUUAGGAGGAACACCAGUUGCGAAGGCGGCUCUCUGGACUGUAACUGACACUGAGGCACGAAAGCGUGGGGAGCAAACAGGAUUAGAUACCCGUGUAGUCCCUGAG
rnacentral:rRNA from 1 species